rfam:Gaeumannomyces graminis var. tritici R3-111a-1 unplaced genomic scaffold supercont2.6, whole genome shotgun sequence.
GGGCGAAUGGUUUAGUGGUAUAACGCUUCCUUAGCAUCGCCAUGACACGAGCACAUCGUGAAGUGGGCUUCCUGGAAGAGGUCCGGGGUUCGAUUCCCCGUUUGUCCA